rnacentral:tRNA from 1 species
GGGGAUUUGGCUCAGUGGUAGAGUGCUUGUCUAGCAAGCACAAGGCCCUGGGUUCAGUCCCCA